UGAGGAAUAUUGGUCAAUGGACGGGAGUCUGAACCAGCCAAGUAGCGUGCAGGAUGACGGCCCUACGGGUUGUAAAGCACUUUCGGAGGGGAGGAAAAAAUAGACGUUACCCUCAGAAGAAGCACCGGCUAACUCCGUGCCAGCAGCCGCGGUAAUACGGAGGGUGCAAGCGUUAAUCGGAAUAACUGGGCGUAAAGGGCAUGCAGGCGGUUCAUCAAGUAGGAUGUGAAAUCCCCGGGCUCAACCUGGGAACAGCAUACUAAACUGGUGGACUAGAGUAUUGCAGGGGGAGACGGAAUUCCAGGUGUAGCGGUGGAAUGCGUAGAUAUCUGGAAGAACACCAAAGGCGAAGGCAGUCUCCUGGGCAAAUACUGACGCUC
rnacentral:rRNA from 1 species